UACAGAGGGGGCAAGCGUUGCUCGGAAUUACUGGGCGUAAAGGGCGCGUAGGCGGGUUGGCAAGUCGGCCGUGAAAUCCCUCGGCUCAACUGAGGAUCGUCGAUCGAUACUGCCGUUCUUGAGGAUUGCAGAGGGGACUGGAAUUCCCGGUGUAGCGGUGAAAUGUGUAGAGAUCAGGAGGAACACCGGUGGCGAAGGCGGGUCUCUGGGCAAUUCCUGACGCUGAGGCGCGAAAGCGUGGGGAGCAAACGGG
rnacentral:rRNA from 1 species